AUACUUAGCUGGCAGGGAAGACACCAUGAUUACAAAGGUGAUUUCCUUGGGCAAGGCUUCUCCAUUGCACUGCGGACAUGCUGAUCCCUGUGAUUUCCCCAAAUGUGGGAAACUCAACUGCAUAAUUUAUGAUAGUGGGGGAUUGCAUAUGUGAUUUCCUCUG
ensembl:snRNA U1 U1 spliceosomal RNA